UCGCAGUAUUUAUCUCUUGCAGCGGUUCUUGAACUGUGCACUUGCUGUGAGACCCUAUGGGCACCGUGAGCCAAUUCCAGCAAUAUAUAUCGCGGUUUAUAUGGAAACAAAUAAUUUAAAAUUUAUCGUAAUUUGUUUUUAUUGAUUUUAAUAUGACAACAAACAUAAGGCAACAACAGAUUCGUUUUUCACUUUUAAAAAUGCAGUUUUUGUGCGUUGUAAUAUUUGUCGGUGGUUUUUUUUUUCCGAUCGGUAACCAUCAACGGCGACUAUAAUGUUCGUUUUUCAUUU